UAAGAAUUAAUACAUUCCAGUCAAAUGGAUUCUAUAACCUAUUUUUUAUUUUUAAAUGAUAUUCUACAUUAUCGCAUCUUAAUUUCAAUACGUAUUGUAAACAGAAUGAACGAUUUGUUUCUUUGAUGAAAAGGAGCUCCCGAAUAGUAGUCGAGAAAUGUCCUCUUAAGCUUGGCUUUGCUCACCGAUUACGUAUCAGUAGGGUGUCUCUAUCGAUUUCGAUCAGUUGUGAAUAUUAUUGGAUUCAUCGAUAAUCCUUCGUGUUGCUUCUGGAUCACGGGACGACUAUCCUUCUUAGUCGAUUAUGGAUCGCAAUGAUGGAACGCUUUAGUUUGAUGAACGAGGUUAGGUUCAGUUAUACGAAUGAAAGAAAGUAAAUAUAGCGAUGGAAAAUUGAUUUAAGAAUAUAUAUUUUAUGAUGCACAAAACUUGUUUAUUUAAACAAAUGAAAGGAAAAAAAGUGUUACUUAAAUU